ensembl:lncRNA
CGGGAACUCCGGGAAAGGAAAUCAGGGUUUCAUGGAUCGCAGGUGGAUAGAUGAGCGGGGCGAUCGCGGAUUGGGCAGUGUGAAGAGAAGGAGGAGUAUAAAGAGGGCCUCAGAAACUGCAGAGGGGGAGUUUUUUUUAUUCUAGCCGAUACGGCGAGUGAGUUGGAGUGUUUGGGCGAGUGCAGCGGAAAGAAGGCGGAGGAUAUUGUUGGCUGGGUGAAGACGGAGACAAGGGUUUGGCAGAAACAGAAACCGGGCUGAGUAUAUUGGGAUGUCUACCUAACUGUGAAAUGCUCUAUGGACAUGUGUAACAAAUUCUGAGUGGUUGAAAACAGGAAGACUCACCGGAAGUAUCGCCGAAGGAGGCCCUUUCGACAGGUCACGUGGCAGCAGGAGAAGUAUCCAGGAGCUGGAAAGAAGAGGGAAAAGAGACCUUGUGUUAGUAACGGUUGUCUCCACGAUUUCCAGGACGAGUCUUUGGUCAGACGGGGUUUUGACCCUAAAUUCACCAAGAGUGUGUGGAGUGCAGUGGGCCCGACGAAAUCCUUGAAGGAAGUGAGUACUGAGGCGGGCGAAGAAAACAUCUCCAAUUAUAUGCCGUCGAUGACAUCCUGACCCUUCUUCCCCAC